UUGUGACUGACGGUGUGGAGGAGGGCAGCAAAGUGACUGACAGUAUGGAGAUGAACAGCAGUAAAGCUGUUGUGACUGAUGGUGGGGAGGGGGCAAUAGAGCGACUAAUGUGACUGACAGCGGGGAGGUGAACAGUGUUGGCUAACGCCAUCUGAAUCUGCUCUACCUGCUCAGGUUGAGUCGAGCAGCUCUGCACCUGGAGCUAUGGAGACUGGAAGUAGGUUUUUAGCAGAGUUGAUGGAGGCUGAACAGAGCAGGGUGGAGCCAGGAGAGGUUGGUGUGGGAGGGUCUGAGCAGAACACGAAGUCUCCGGUCUUACAGGAGGCUGUCAGACCUGACAGUGAGACAGAAGAGGUGACGAAGCUGGACCGCUGUUAUGGUGACGAUAUGACUGACAUGGACUGUGACUCUGUCUCUGUUUCUAGAACAGACAGUAUUUCCCAAAGCGAGGACCUCCUAUUCACUCGAGGAAAUCAAUAGUUUUUUGGAUGAAACCUUUGGGGAAAAAAAAGCAAAUGUUAACCUCCUAAGGCCCAAGCUGUUUUUUUUUUACUUGCAUUUUUUAUUUCUCUUUGCUAUUUGGGCUUAUUAGAACCUGAUUAGAAUAAAAACUAAGCAUCAUCUUUUGAUAAGAUGUACUUUUAGAGAAAAAGUAUGUCCACAUAUGUGGAUUCUUGGUCCGAAUUUCCAUAAAGUGCUGUCCAUGCAUGUGACCGCUAAGCCCUAGGAGGUUAAAGAUUAUUUCCCCAAUAUUGAAAAGUUUAUUAGGUCAGUUACCACACUUCAAAGAGUUGUUGGAAUGGAUUUACUAGAUGGAAAAAAAAACGUUAUCAGUUUAAAAAGCACGUUACUGGUCUGAGGAAAGGGUUAAAAGAGUCCAAAAGUAGAAUGAUUAAGAAAAUGAAAACUAGAAAAUAAAAGUUUUUAAUGACCUCACAGCACUGGGUGUUUUAUCUCUACUGGUUCUUUUUAUCUGUCUCUUUUACGUUUCUGUCUUUUUAUCUUUCAAUAUGCAGGGGUUAAGUGUCAUGUCUUUAAAUAUAAAUGGGGAAGAGAUGAACAAAGUUUUAUUAUCUGAAGUAAUUAGACAGAAAAAACUGGAUAUUAUUUUAUUACAGGAAACACAGUGAUGAGUCGAAUAAAAUAGCCUGGGAUUUAUGGUGGAAUGGACAAUAUGUUCUUAGUCAUGGGACAAAUUUUAGUGCAGGAGUUGCAAUUUUUUUUAAAAUUCUCUCCUGUUUUAGAUAUAAACAUCGUGUCCAGUACAGAGUUGGUGAAAGGUAGAGUUCUUAUGGUAAAGGUUAAAAUACAGGAUUUUACUCUUAGUUUUAUUAAUGUUUAUGCACCAAGCCAAGGCUCUGAAUGUGAGGAGGAGUUUUAAUGAUCCAGGGGAGUGUGUUUUAAUGGAGGGAGAUUGGAACUGCUGCAUAGACUUUACAUUAGAUAGGACUGGAGAGGAACCACAUAUUCGCUCCUCGUCCAUUUUAUCUCACUUUUUAAAGAGAACUGAUCUGGUUGAUGUGUGGAGGAUGAAGCACUCUUCAGUCCGACAAUACACAUAGGUGAAAAUACUUGAUGGUAGAGUCUGUGCAGCAAGGUUGGAUAGAUUUUAUAUUUCUGCACCUUUUACUUCAAGAGUUAUUGACUGCCAAAUCUCCCCUGUUGUUUUUACAGACCAUCACUUAGUUUUAAUGGAGCUUUUUUUUUUAUCUCCCACAGAAAAACCAAAGUCCUUUUGGCAUUUUAAUGUUAAGUUAUUGCAUGAUCUUAAUUUUUGUAAAAAUUUUAAAUAAUUUUGGAUCUAUUGGAGAUCCAGGAAGGAAACUUUUCCUUCACUCAUUAAGUGGUGGGAGGUAGGAAAGGACCAAAUUAGUGUUUUGCCAACAGUAUUUUUCCAAUUCCACAGCCAAGAUCCAGAGAACUGUCCAGAAACUGGAAGAGGAAAUGAGACUUAGAAAAAAAAUUUUUUACCUCACAAGCUGAUCAACAAAAAAAUGAUGGGUUAAUUUUUAAAAGGCAGGAACUCCACUCCCUUCUGCAGGACAGAGCUAAAGGAACACUAGUCCAAGCACGUUUUACUAGACUCCAAGACAUGGAUGCACCAACUUCUUUCUUUUUUAAUUUGGAGAAAUCUGCUGUUCAGAGGAAACAGAUGGUCUGUCUUCGUCGUUCUGAUGGAAACAUCACUACAGACCCAGCCAAGAUGAGGAAGCUCGCAGUGGAGUUUUAUACAGUUCUAUUCAGCACGGGCAGCUGUGACAUGGACUGUGCUGCAGAGCUAUUGCAAGGGCUUCCUCAACUGAGCUUAGAAGACCAGAACACACUGAACGCAGGAAUCGUUUUAGAUGAACUGACUUCUGCGGUGUCCCAGAUGGUACCAGGCAAGGCUCCGGGACUAGAUGGUCUUCCUUCGGACUUUUUUUAAACACUUCUGGACAAUACUGGCCAAAACCUUUUGGCCAUUUUUAAAGUGUGUUUUAAAAAAGGGAGCCUUCCGGCUUCCUGUAGGUGAGCAGUUCUUUCACUGCUGCCCAAGAAGGGAGACCUAGCUUUUUUAAAGAACUGGAGACCUGUAGCUCUUUUAUGUACAGACUAUAAGAUCCUCUUCAAGGUUUUCUCAAAUAGAUUAAACAUUUUAUUGAUUUAUUUAUUGGUGCAGAACAGUCUUAUUGUAUUCCAGACAGGCCAUCUCAUCAUCUCUAGCCACUUUAUCCUGUUCUACAGGGCUACAGACAAGCUGGAGCCUAUCCCAGCUGACUACGGGCAAAAGGCGAGGUACACCCUGGACAAGUCGCCAGGUCAUCACAGGGCUGACACAUAUGGCCCUUUUCCACUACCCUCUUUCAGCUCGCUUCAGCUCACUUCAGCCCGACACGGCUCGCGUUUCGACUACCAAAGAACAGCACGACUCGGCUCGCUUCAGCCCUGCUUAGCCCCUAAAACUCACACCGUUUUGGAGUAGGGCUGAAGCGAGCCAAAUUGAGCCGAGUGAGGCUGGGGGCAUGAGCAGACACUCCCCUGUGCACUGAUUGGUGAGGAGGAGUGUCCUCACAUGCCCACACACGCCCCGCGAGCACGCUGGGAUCUGUAAACACCGUAAACCCGGAAGAAGAAGAAUUACGAAUUACGAGAAUUUCUGAAGCCUUAUGCGCCUCGCCUCAUCUAUACGCUCUUGCCAGUAUCUGUUGGCGUUGUCGGUGACAACAAGCCACAGCACCAAGACCAGCAACACUAACGACUCCAUGUUUAUUGUUUACUAUUCGGGUCGUGAGACUACCGCUUAAAAGCUCACUGAUGUCACUGUUUGCGCUGCUUAACGACAUCACGUGACGUCCACCCACUUUCGCUAACUCCACCCAAUGUGUCCACCCACUUCCAGCCAGCACGGUUCAGCGCAGUUGUAGUCGAAAUGCAACUCCAACAGCCCCGCUCAGCUCAACUCAGCACGGCUCAGCCCGACUCAGCCGCGUUUGUAGUGGAAAAGCGGCAAUAGACAACCAUUCACACUCUCAUUCACACCUACGGUCAAUUUAGAGUCACCAGUUAACCCAAUCUGCAUGUCUUUGGACUGUGGGGGAAACCGGAGCACCCGGAGGAAACCCACACAGACACAGGGAGAACAUGCAAACUCCGCACAGAAAGGCCCUCGCCGGCCACGGGGCUCGAACCUGGACCUUCUUGCUGUGAGGUGACAGUGCUAACCACUACACCACCGUGCCGCCUCCAGACAGGUCAAUGUAUGAUAACUUAUUUUUAAUAAAGGAUAUAUUUGAUGUUUGUAAUUUGUACAAUAUUAAUGUUGGUAUUUUAUUCAUUGAUCAAGAAAAGGUGUUUGAUCGUGUGGAUCAUGGUUUUCUCUUCUCCACCCUGCAGGCUUUUGGAAUUGGGGGGAGGUCUUUUUUUAUCCUUGGGUCAAACUAUUGUAUAAUGAAGCCUGCUGUUUAGUAAAGGUGGGGGGAGGGUUGAGCUGCCCUGUGCCAGUUAAAAGAGGAAUCAGACAGGGCUGCCCCAUCUCAGGCCAGCUCUACAGUAUUGUCAUUGAACCUCUUCUGUGUAGGCUGAGGAGCAGGGUACAGGGCCUGGGUCUCCCUUGAGCUGGCUCAGAACCGCUCUGUGGCUGUCUCAGCUUAUGCAGAUGGGUCAAUGACAUGACGCCUAUAUUUUCUGUUAAUGUUGGUAUUUUAUCCAUUGAUCAAGAAAAGGUGUUUGAUCGUGUGGAUCAUGGUUUUCUCUUCUCCACCCUGCAGGCUUUUGGAAUUGGGGGGAGGGUUUUUUUUAUCCUGUUUUUUUUAAUCUUUUAUCCAACUGCAAUUUCUUCAGUUAAAAAGUGAAAUUUCAUAAUAAUUUACCACAUAUGUAGUACAUGUGACCUCCAUGGAACUAAAUCUUUUUUUCAGAAAUAAUUAGUUAGCAUGCAAUUUUUUUGUCCUCAAAGUGUUAAAAAGUCAUGUGGUGCGACCGUCCAACCUUAACUGCUGAUUUUUAAACUUUUUAAAAAUUACUCUAAAUCUAAUCAAAUUUAUUGUCUUUUUUGGCAUAUUUUCUGAAGUGUUUUGUAGUCCCACAUGAAAUUUCAGCUUUCUUGAAUAUAUAUUUCCUCCAUAAUAUACAAACAAAUAAUGUCCGAGCCUGUCUAUUUUUCCAAAUAUCAUGUGGUGCGACCAUCAAGAAAUGACCAUUUUGGGACUUUUAUUUUAAAUCCAAGUGAAAGACAUGAAGUUGCAUCAUUCAUCAAUAGGCAAAGGACACAUGGAAUCAACAGGCAGAUGCCACUGUCCAGCAAAAUAAAGACUGCACGCCAUAGGGAGCAGGUCAACUCUGACCCAGCAGUAUUAGACCUCACCCCGCCAUCUAUGGAGAGCAUUCCACCAGCUCUCCUUAAUGUAGUUGUAGCUCCCGACCCAUCCGGAAAUGUGAAUCUAGUGGACCCAAUAUUGAAUGACGAUUUUAGUCCACCAGUGGUGUCCACACCAGUGAGAGAUGAGAGAAGGGAUAAGUCAGGCCAGAAACUUUGCAAAAAAUUGCGGCGGGAGAAGAUAAUGCUUAAAAAGCAAGUCUUGCAUCUCAGGAAAAAGCUGAUGGAAAUGCAAAAAAUGAAAAAUAAAAUUAGAAAGUGUGAGAUGAGAAUGAUGGAAAUGCAAAGGAAAGUGAGAAGUGGAAAGGUCAAACAAAAGGGUCAGAAGAGACUGUCAGCUGAGAGAAAGCAAGCUGUUAUACAGUUUUUGUUGAGAGAUGAAAACAGUUGCCUUCUACCUGGGGAAAAAAGACACAAUCACGAAAAAUAAACAAAGAGUACAAAGAAGAGUCCUGACAAAGCCUCUCAAAGAGCUCCACACACAGUAUCAAACAGAGGUAGAACAGCACCUGUCCAUGUCUUACAGACAGUUUACCCGACACAGGCCCUUUUACAUUACAGAGCCAAAGUUACGGGGCCGAGAUACAUGUGCAUGUUCAGAACAUGAGAACAUCCGACUGUUGGCGAACAAACUAGUGAAGACAGGGCUGCUGAAGACAACCAGUGCCUCGGAGUUAGUGGGAAUGAUUGUGUGUGACCCCAAAAACAAAGCAUGUAUGGAUCGUGUGUGUCCCGAAUGCUGCUUUGAUGAAAUCGUCUGCCCGGAGACAGACAACUGUGAGACUACCUCCUGGGAACAAUGGGAGCGGGUGACAUCAACUAAUGGAGACAAAAACUUUGCACAUGUUGUAGACUUGUUGUGCGCUGUUGUGAAUGAGAAAAAGUGAAAACUGAAAUGACAAUGUUGUGAAAAGAAGUAGACAUGAAAUGGAAAAAAAGAUUAAAUUUUCAUUUUCACUGAGUGUUAAAAGGCAAUAAAAUUUGAUUUAAUCAUA